rnacentral:rRNA from 1 species
AUUGAACGCUGGCGGCAGGCUUAACACAUGCAAGUCGAGCGAGCGGCGGACGGGUGCGUAAUGACUGGGAAACUUCCUGAUGGAGGGGGAUAACUACUGGAAACGGUAGCUAAUACCGCAUACCAUCAGUAGUGUCCUGAUGGGAUUAGCUAGUCGGUGGGGUAACGGCUCCCCUAGGCGACGAGCCCUAGGUGGUCUGAGAGGAUGACCAGCAACACUGGAACGAAGACACGGACCAGACUCCUACGGAGGGCAGCAGAGGGGAAGAUUGCACAAUGGGCGCAAGCCUGAAGCAGCCAUGCCGCGUGUGUGAAGAAGGACUUCGGGUUGUAAAGCACUUUCAGCGAGGAGGCGUUACUCGCAGAAGAAGCACCGGCUAACUCCGUGCCAGCAGCCGCGGUAAUUC